UUCGAUGAUUUUAUGAAAACACCGAUCUGUCGGUGUAGCGAUAAAUGUUACUCGACUGAAUUGUCCGAUGUUGACACUAGCCAUUUUGUACAAACACUCACACAAACAAUGGAAAAUGACGACAUAUUUCACAAUGUCACGAUGUCAGAAGAGAUCUGUCACCAGAAAGGAUUUGCAGAAGGAAAGAAAGUUGGUGAACAAAAAGGGCUGGUGGAGGGACAGAAACUUGGAUGGGAAAAAGGGGCUGCCAUAGGGUCUGAGGUUGGAUUUUACUCUGGAUUUGCUGAGUCACUGUUGGAAGAAAUGAAGAAAGAACCUGAAACCAAACAGAGGGCAGUAAAGACACUAGAGAGGAUUUUGUCAGUCUGCAGAGAGUUUCCCCUCACGGAGCCUCAAAACCCUGAACUGCCAACUAGGCUUGAAGAGCUGAGGUCAAAGUUCAAACAAGUGUGCUCACAGUUGGGAAUCAAAGCUGAUGCUCAGAAACCAGAUGUGAAGGGAGUGUCUUUCUGACCAAGAGCUGGAAGCAGAAGAUGGAAGUAUACAAGGACUGAAAACAGGUAGAGUCCAAACUUCAGGGAGACAUGCAUGGUUUUGUCUUCACAUCAGCAGUGAUGUCCACAGUCUUCUGACAGUCUGCUCCAAAAUGAACGUACCAUGGUGCACCUGGUUAUGAACAGUCAAGCUCAUUGUUUAGAACUGUUUAAGAUCUGUCGUGUGAAAGAUAUGGUCUGCUAGAGCAUAAGCAAGCCGUGAUAAAAACUGUGAAUCUUGGAUAUUAUUUAAGAAAAUCCCACAACAGUUGUUUAGAUACAAAAAAUAUUUAAAAGUUUGAGUGUCCGAAAAUUUAGAGACAUAUCUGUUAUAUUUGUUUGUCAAGUAUUAUAUUGAAAUAAAUCCAAUUAAUAAUUGUGCAUUAUUUAAUUGUGUUGUACUCUUUUAUCUCUGCUUUAAAUAAAAUACAACUUCACUUA